UAAGGAAUAUUGGUCAAUGGACGCAAGUCUGAACCAGCCAUGCCGCGUGAAGGAUGAAGGUCCUCUGGAUUGUAAACUUCUUUUAUCUGGGACGAAAACGGGAUUUUUAUCUCAAUUGACGGUACCAGAGGAAUAAGCACCGGCUAACUCCGUGCCAGCAGCCGCAGUAAUACGGAGGGUGCGAGCGUUAUCCGGAUUCACUGGGUUUAAAGGGUGCGUAGGUGGGUAUGUAAGUCAGAGGUGAAAUCCCCGAGCUUAACUUGGGAACUGCCUUUGAUACUAUAUAUCUUGAAUGCCGUAGAGGUAAGCGGAAUAUGUCAUGUAGCGGUGAAAUGCUUAGAUAUGACAUGGAACACCAAUUGCGAAGGCAGCUUACUAUGCGGUUAUUGACACUGAGGCACGAAAGCGUGGGUAGCAAACA
rnacentral:rRNA from 1 species